UACGGAGGGGGCUAGCGUUGUUCGGAAUUACUGGGCGUAAAGCGCGCGUAGGCGGAUCUGCAAGUCGGGGGUGAAAUCCCGAGGCUCAACCUCGGAACUGCCUUCGAUACUGCGGGUCUCGAGUCCGGGAGAGGUGAGUGGAAUUCCUAGUGUAGGGGUGAAAUUCGUAGAUAUUAGGAAGAACACCAGUGGCGAAGGCGGCUCACUGGCCCGGUACUGACGCUGAGGCGCGAAAGCGUGGGGAGCAAACAGG
rnacentral:rRNA from 1 species